GUUUAAUGUUUAUAACAUCUGGUGCAACCAUAGCCGCGAGAACGUAUUCUCAGCAGGGGGUGCUGGAAAAAAAAACCCGGCCUGCACUAGACUCGCAACUCGUCACAUUGAUAAAAAAGAUAUAUAGCAGCGCAGCUCAAUUACAUCAGUGCAUGCGCGCACAGUUGAAAAUCGAUCGUUGUGUUCACUUCCUUCACACCAUGGUUCACAUCCAGCUGCUCACAGAACAAGUUUAGCGCACCACCGCUACCCUCACACUUUUUCAUAGAACCUUUUUUCAGCACUAGGUCAUAUGAGCAUUAAAUAAAUGCUGCGUCUCAACAUGCCUUGGACAGCAGCGAGGAUGACUCGCUUUGCCACGGGCCGAAACAGUUCGGAGCGACCACAGCCAGAGCGAACACAGCGGGGCAGAGGAGUGUCAGGAAGUCUUUGGUGUACACAUCAGCAGUAGAGAUGAACAGGACGCUCAACAAAACCUAAACAAAACCAGUGAGCUCCCUGCCAAGCAAUGUACGGACAUCUGACAUCGGGCGACCAGGCGGGCUUAAUGUCAUCGGUCUCUCCUCUUGGCCAUGAGCCCUGGCUCUCCCUUCAGGAGCGAGACCUUCGCUUGGUAGAACCCAGCGCCGGGAUAUUUGGGAGGAUUUUUUUGGCCGGGACAGGAUCUCUGUGAAAAGCUCACAUGUGAGAGGAACUGCUAUCAUUUAUGUUUUAUCCUGAGCACGCUUGUUUCCACUCUCUGCUGGGAGUAACGAUGAGAGUAAU
ensembl:lncRNA